UAAGUAUCAUUUUGACUGACGUAUGAUAUGUUGUUAGAAUUAUGUAUCAAGUUUAUUUUUGCAUUUUAUGUAUCAUAUUAACAACUUUGCAUUUUUUGUAUCAUGUUAGUAUCAAGUAGACAGACUUAUAAUUGUAGUUACCUUUAUGUAUCAAGUACAACUUUGCAUUUUUUGUAUCAUGUUAGGCUAUAAAGUGUCUGUUAAGUAUCAUUUUGACUGACUUAUGAUAUGUUGUUAGAACAGAUUGGGCAGCAUUGGAUGCAUAUAAAGACAAGAAAACUGGAGAACUUUUGGGUCCACAACAUUCGUUUAAUGUGGAGUUUGCUCAAGACAACAUGCAACAAAUAAGUGAUAGCCUUGAUUGCGGACUAUUCGUAGUUGUAUAUGCAGAAUUCUGAGUGACAAAAUCAACAUGUCAUAUAAUAGUUUUAAGAGUAGCUAUCUUCGCAAAAGAUAUGUGAUUCUUUUAUUGAAGUAUGGUCUCGACAAGAUGAAUGUUGGAUAUGUUAGCAACAGUGAUGACCCUUCAAGAAUGAAGAAUGUAUUAAACCCAUCAUCUGAAGAUGAAAUUGUUAAUGUAGGCUAGUUAGUUUUCAAUGUUUGAUUUUUUUUUGUUUUUUGGAGUUAAACAAGAUGUUUGAAGUAUUUAUUAACAUAACAACACAUAUUGUUAAAUUAUGAAAGUGUUUUGAUUUUUAAAA